GAUGAACGCUAGCGAUAGGCUUAACACAUGCAAGUCGAGGGGCAGCAUGGUCUUAGCUUGCUAAGACUGAUGGCGACCGGCGCACGGGUGCGUAACGCGUAUGCAACUUGCCUCACAGAGGGGGAUAACCCGUCGAAAGAUGGACUAAUACCGCGUACACUCCAUCUUGGGCAUCCAAGGUAGAGGGAAUGAAAUUCGCUGUGAGAUAGGCAUGCGUCCCAUUAGCUAGUUGGUGAGGUAACGGCUCACCAAGGCGACGAUGGGUAGGGGAACUGAGAGGUUGAACCCCCACACUGGUACUGAGACACGGACCAGACUCCUACGGGGGGCAGCAGUGAGGAAUAUUGGUCAAUGGGCGAGAGCCUGAACCAGCCAAGUCGCGUGAAGGAUGACUGUCUUAUGGAUUGUAAACUUCUUUUAUACGGGAAUAACAAGAGUCACGUGUGACUCCCUGCAUGUACCGUAUGAAUAAGCAUCGGCUAACUCCGUG
rnacentral:rRNA from 1 species